GCUCGAGUGGCGAACGGGUGAGUAACACGUGAGUAGCCUGCCCUUGACUUUGGGAUAACUUCAGGAAACUGGGGCUAAUACCGGAUAGGAGCUCCUGCUACAUGGUGGGGGUUGGAAAGUUUCGGCGGUUGGGGAUGGACUCGCGGCUUAUCAGCUUGUUGGUGGGGUAGUGGCUUACCAAGGCUUUGACGGGUAGCCGGCCUGAGAGGGUGACCGGCCACAUUGGGACUGAGAUACGGCCCAG
rnacentral:rRNA from 1 species